rnacentral:rRNA from 1 species
GAUGAACGCUGGCGGCGUGCUUAACACAUGCAAGUCGAACGGAAAGGCUCCUGCUUGCAGGGGUACUCGAGUGGCGAACGGGUGAGUAACACGUGGGUGAUCUGCCCUGCACUUCGGGAUAAGCCUGGGAAACUGGGUCUAAUACCGGAUAGGACCACAUUUUGGAUGGUGUGGUGGAAAGUUUUUCGGUGUGGGAUGAGCUCGCGGCCUAUCAGCUUGUUGGUGGGGUAAUGGCCUACCAAGGCGUCGACGGGUAGCCGGCCUGAGAGGGUGUACGGCCACAUUGGGACUGAGAUACGGCCCAGACUCCUACGGGAGGCAGCAGUGGGGAAUAUUGCACAAUGGGCGCAAGCCUGAUGCAGCGACGCCGCGUGGGGGAUGACGGCCUUCGGGUUGUAAACUCCUUUCGCUAGGGACGAAGCGCAGGUGACGGUACCUGGAGAAGAAGCACCGGCUAACUACGUG